AGAGUUUGAUCCUGGCUCAGGACGAACGCUGGCGGCGUGCUUAACACAUGCAAGUCGAACGGAAAGGCCCUUCGGGGUACUCGAGUGGCGAACGGGUGAGUAACACGUGGGUGAUCUGCCCUGCACUUUGGGAUAAGCCUGGGAAACUGGGUCUAAUACCGAAUAUGACCAUGCGCCUCCUGGUGUGUGGUGGAAAGCUUUUGCGGUGUGGGAUGGGCCCGCGGCCUAUCAGCUUGUUGGUGGGGUAAUGGCCUACCAAGGCGACGACGGGUAGCCGGCCUGAGAGGGUGACCGGCCACACUGGGACUGAGAUACGGCCCAGACUCCUACGGGAGGCAGCAGUGGGGAAUAUUGCACAAUGGGCGCAAGCCUGAUGCAGCGACGCCGCGUGAGGGAUGACGGCCUUCGGGUUGUAAACCUCUUUCAGCACAGACGAAGCGCAAGUGACGGUAUGUGCAGAAGAAGGACCGGCCAACUACGUGCCAGCAGCCGCGGUAAUACGUAGGGUCCGAGCGUUGUCCGGAAUUACUGGGCGUAAAGAGCUCGUAGGUGGUUUGUCGCGUUGUUCGUGAAAACUCACAGCUUAACUGUGGGCGUGCGGGCGAUACGGGCAGACUUGAGUACUGCAGGGGAGACUGGAAUUCCUGGUGUAGCGAUGGAAUGCGCAGAUAUCAGGAGGAACACCAGUGGCGAAGGCGGCUCACUGGCCCGAUACUGACGCUGAGGAGCGAAAGCGUGGGGAGCGAACAGGAUUAGAUACCCUGGUAGUCC
rnacentral:rRNA from 1 species